rnacentral:rRNA from 1 species
UACGAAGGGGGCUAGCGUUGCUCGGAAUCACUGGGCGUAAAGGGUGCGUAGGCGGGUCUUUAAGUCAGGGGUGAAAUCCUGGAGCUCAACUCCAGAACUGCCUUUGAUACUGGGGAGCUAGAGUCCGGGAGAGGUGAGUGGAACUGCGAGUGUAGAGGUGAAAUUCGUAGAUAUUCGCAAGAACACCAGUGGCGAAGGCGGCUCACUGGCCCGGUACUGACGCUGAGGUGCGAAAGCGUGGGGAGCAAACAGG